AUUGAACGCUGGCGGCAGGCCUAACACAUGCCAGUCGAGCGAGCGGAGGCCGGGUGAGUAAUGUCUGGGAAACUGCCUGAUGGAGGGGGGUAACUACUGGAAACGGUAGCUAAUACAGCAUACCAUCAGAUGUGCCCAGGUGGGAUUAGCUUGUCUGUGGGGUAACGGCUCCCCUCGGCGACGAUCCCUAGCUGGUCUGAGAGGAUGACCAGCAACACGGGAAAUGAGACACGGUCCAGAUUCCUACGGGAGGCAGCAGUGGGGAAGAUUGCACAAUGGGCGCAAGCCUGAUGCAGCCAUGCCGCGUGUGUGAAGAAGGCCUUCGGGUUGUAAAGCACUUUCAGCGGGGAGGCGUUACCCGCAGAAGAAGCACCGGCUAACUCCGUGCCAGCAGCCGCGGUAAUUC
rnacentral:rRNA from 1 species